GCUGCUGCACUGCAUUAUGCGGGAUGGAACCAGAGAGGUUUCCUUCUCCGGCCAAACCAAAUGCAUCUACUCCAAUCACUGUGAUGUUCGUUUCACAUGGAAAAGAAUAAAUCUUUGACCAAACAAAAACGAUAGAACUGCCAAGGAGAGACAAAUGAAUAGAACCACCGCUCUCCACGGAUUAACCCAUCGGAGCCAACCAUCAAGGAGACCACCACAUUGACUGCAGUCAUUGCCUUACCAGAACGCCAAUGAAACAAGAACCAACGGAAGGAGAAACUUUGGGUGGAGAGCAAAAGAGAAAAGCACAGCAAACCAAAAAAAAAUCCACACCUUGUGAAACAGUUGGCCAACCAGCUGAAAGAAACGCGAUAAGAAAGAAGCGGGGUGUGGGCGAAGAGGAGCAAACAGAUAUAACAUGUUUCACUAGUUCGGAGACGGUGUGUGGAUAGGCCAAAACCACUACCCCACAACCGACUCGCCUUCACCUCCACCAGUGGCCUCAAACCCGAGCUUAGCCAACGGGUUUGAGAGCAGGCAUGCAAACCAAGGGAGAAGACCAAUGGUUUAAAUAUAAAAAACCACCACCGCGUCACGCCUUCACCCUAAGGAAGCCAGAACUUCCAAACCGCUUGAAAGAGAACCUCAAAACUACCAAGAGGAGAAAGCCAAGGAGGAAUUUGAGUAUUUCACCCCAUAUCUUACGGCAUAGAUAUGGAUUGUGAAUCCAGAUCCUCAGCCAAGCCAAAGGACCGCCGCACAACCCAAUGUCACUUCAGAUCUAGAUCUCUCACUAACAUUGACAAGAAGAACAAGUAAGAAAUGAAGAUCAGCCUAUCAGGUUAAGAAGAAACUAAAAAGGAAAGGGAAAAUAAAGACCUCUCACAAUAACGGCUGUCAGAGGGGGAAGCAAGACGGCGAUUUUAAAUUUAAAGAGAGAAGGGAAAGCUAAUCCCCUGUAUAUUAAUAGAGAAAUUUUUAAAAAAUUAUAACAUGUAAUUUGUAUUAAUUAAAAAAGUGUCAUGUUAAGUUGUCACGUAAUUGGAAUAUUAAUUUUGCUUACGUGGCGGCUUGAAAAUCAAUUGAGAAUUUUGUUAGUCCAAAAUUGUAUUGAUAAGAAAUGUUAUAUUAUAUAUUAUAUCUAUUAUCGACCACUUAUUUAUCAAAUUGAAAUUAUUAUAUAUUUUUUCCAUAAAUAAAACUUACUGAAUUAUCCAAUGUGAUUAAAAUAUAUGGAAAUUAAUGAUUUUAAAUAAUAAAGAUUUGCUAACAAUUUGUAUACUUUCUAUUAUUUUUGUAUAAUUAUUUAUUAUCAAAAUAAAUUACACAAUUACAUUAAUCAUAUAAUAAAAAUUUAGAUUUUUUUUUUGUAUAUGUUGUAUUUUGAAUUUUUCAAAACGAGUAUAAAUUACUAAAACUGUUAAAAGUCUCA